rnacentral:rRNA from 1 species
UUCCAGACUCCUACGGGAGGCAGCAGUGAGGAAUAUUGGUCAAUGGCCGGAAGGCUGAACCAGCCAUGCCGCGUGAAGGUCAGUGCCCUAUGGGCGUUAAACUUCUUUUGUGCGGGAGCAAUAAUGGUCACGUGUGGCCAGACGAGAGUACCGUACGAAUAAGCAUCGGCUAACUCCGUGCCAGCAGCCGCGGUAAUACGGGGGAUGCAAGCGUUAUCCGGAUUUAUUGGGUUUAAAGGGUGCGUAGGCGGAGUGUCAAGUCAGCGGUAAAAUUUCGGGGCUCAACCCCGUCGUGCCGUUGAAACUGACGCCCUUGAGUGAGUGAGAAGUAAGCGGAAUGCGUGGUGUAGCGGUGAAAUGCAUAGAUAUCACGCAGAACGCCGAUUGCGAAGGCAGCUUGCCGGCGCUCAACUGACGCUGAGGCACGAAAGUGCGGGUAUCGAACAGGAUUAGAUACCCCAGUAC